UACGUAAAUGUUGAACGUUUUAGAGACAUUAUUUUGUUUUGAAUCACACCGUAAUAAGCGACAGCAUAAACAACAUAAGCAACAGCGUUUAACGUCACGUAAGUAAUGGAUAAAGUAUCAAAAGAAUACGGAACGUUUCUCGGUGACCGAAAUCCCACGUCGGACGACAAGAGUCAACAACACUCUCGUACCUCGGUUGUACAUGGUAUGAUAGCUAUGGACGACGUAUCCGACAAGAACAAGAUAUGGAGAAUGUUGGCCGCGGAGUUUCUGGGCACGGCCAUGCUAUUGUUCGUCGGCUGCGGCAGCACUAUGUGGUUUAAGGGUUUGGACUCGUCAGACGUCUUAAAAAUCGCUUUGGCUUUCGGCUUCAUAAUAGCCACACUGGUGCAGAUUUUUGGUCAGACCAGUGGAUGCCACAUCAACCCAGCGGUCACGGUGAGCUUUUUGAUCACGGGCCAAUGCUCGUUUUUGAAAUCAGUUUUGUACAUGAUUGCCCAGUGUUUAGGUGCUGUAGCUGGUAUUUAUUUACUGAUGUUCAUCACUCCAACCGAUUCGACAAUCACCUUCGGUAGGACACAAGUUAACACUUUGCUUAACCCUGGCCAGGGAUUUAUUAUCGAAGCGUUCAUUACAUUUAUUUUGGUUUUGGUCAUUCAUUCGGUAUGCGACGAAGCUAACCGAAGCAACGUAGUCACACCAGCCGUUUCUAUCGGUGUGGCCAUUGCUGCUCUCCAUUUGGGCUUUAUCAAUUACACGGGAGCUAGCAUGAACCCAGCCAGAUCUUUGGGUUCCGUCGUAGCCACUAACGUGUGGAAAGACCACUGGGUGUACUGGGCCGGCCCUAUGACCGGUGGCCUUCUCGGAGGGAUCAUCCACAGCUUUGUGUUGAAACGUCAUACUGAAGAGGCAAGCUCCUAUGAUCUUUGAACAACUAUAUAGAUAAUAUAAUCUUAAACAUUAUUUUUUUAUAAGCUCUUUGCUAUUUUUAAUCGAUAUGCUAUUUAUUAUUACGUGUUAUGAACAUAAUUAACAAAAAAAAAAAAAAAUCCGGGGUUUGUUAAAACAAAACAAAACAUAUCAUCCACCACGUUAAAACUCUAUAUUCAUCAUUGUUGUAUUCGAUUGUAGACAUCAGACCAUACAGUUAAAUUGCGUGAAUUCUAGUUUUUAAAUCGACGAUGAAAUGAACAUUUAUUAAUUUAUUGCCUAUUUGUAAAAAAUUUAAAUUAAACUAUUAUACUAACUUAGGUUAGUAUAUAUCAACCAGGCAUGUUUUAUGUAUAUAAUUUUAUGUUUUUUAAUUUGACGGGGAUUACUUGACUAAGGAUUUCAGUUUAAAUACUAUUAAAUGUGAAACAGAAAUAAAUACUAUAUGUUUUAUUUUAA